CCUACGGGGGGCAGCAGUGGGGAAUAUUGGACAAUGGGGGGAACCCUGAUCCAGCCAUGCCGCGUGUGUGAAGAAGGCCCUCGGGUUGUAAAGCACUUUCAGUGAGGAAGAACGCCUGGUGGUUAAUACCCAUCAGGAAAGACAUCACUCACAGAAGAAGCACCGGCUAACUCCGUGCCAGCAGCCGCGGUAAUACGGAGGGUGCGAGCGUUAAUCGGAAUUACUGGGCGUAAAGCGCGCGUAGGUGGCUUGAUAAGCCGGUUGUGAAAGCCCCGGGCUCAACCUGGGAACGGCAUCCGGAACUGUCAAGCUAGAGUGCAGGAGAGGAAGGUAGAAUUCCCGGUGUAGCGGUGAAAUGCGUAGAGAUCGGGAGGAAUACCAGUGGCGACGGCGGCCUUCUGGACUGACACUGACACUGAGGUGCGAAAGCGUGGGUAGCAAACAGGAUUAGAUACCCUAGUAGUC
rnacentral:rRNA from 1 species